UCCGGCUUGUCACCGGCAGUCCCUCUAGAGUGCCCAACUAAAUGAUGGCAACUAAAGGCGAGGGUUGCGCUCGUUGCGGGACUUAACCCAACAUCUCACGACACGAGCUGACGACAGCCAUGCACCACCUGUCAUGGGCCCUUUCGGACACCGUAUCUCUACGGCUUUUCCCAUGAUGUCAAACCCAGGUAAGGUUCUUCGCGUUGCCUCGAAUUAAACCACACGCUCCGCUGCUUGUGCGGGCCCCCGCCUAUUCCUUUGAGUUUUAACCUUGCGGCCGUAGUCCCCAGGCGGUGAACUUAAUGCGUUAGCUGCGGCACUGAUCGGGUCAAUCCGACCAACACCUAGUUCACAACGUUUACCGUCGGGACUAC
rnacentral:misc_RNA from 1 species